UUUUGGCGUGUUCGGGUCUUUUCCCGUGUAAGAUUGAGAGUAUCUUGGCAACGUUUUGAUGAGGCCCCACGCACCAUCUUCAGACUGGUGCUUUCAGGUUUGUGUUUGUGAUAUUUUUUUGUUUGAGAGUGCAGGCUUCCACA